GCUCCGCCGCAGUCUCUGCUCCCGCCGCUUCCUCCCCGCCGCCCCUCCCUGCCAGCCUGGGCGAACGCGGCCAGGCCCUGGGGACCAAGUCUCCGCGCUGCCGAAGACGGGGCGCGAGUCGCGCCGCAGCCGAAGCGGGGCUGGGCCCCGCCGCCGCCUUUCUGCUGGCCAUGCAUUCUUCUAGCUGCUCCGGCUCCUGCAGCCCGGGCCGGGGCCCGGCCAGCCCGAGGCAGCCGCGAGGGGAGUAGGGCGCCCGCGCGCGGGCUCGUGCAGCGACUCGCGCCUCCUCGGCCGCCGCCGCGUCCAUGACCGCGACCCCUUGGCCGGGGACACCCGCCGCCGCCGCGCAGUACCGCGUCCCGGGCUGCCGGCUCACCGUCCACGCCCGCCGAGAAAGCCUGGACGGACUCCAAUGUGAGAAUGGCUGUGACUUUGGAAGAAGCUCCCUGGCUGGGCUGGAUCUUGGUGAAAGCCUUGAUGAGGUUUGCCUUCAUGGUUGCCAACAACCUGGUGGCUCUUCCAUCCUACAUCUGCUAUGUAAUCAUACUUCAGCCUCUUCGAGUCCUGGACAGUAAGCGGUUCUGGUACAUUGAAGGAAUCAUGUAUAAAUGGCUUUUAGGAAUGGUGGCUUCUUGGGGAUGGUAUGCUGGAUAUACAGUAGUAUCCAGACUAUUUUGAUUCUUGGAUUACUUACCAGUGCAGGAAGUUAAGACAUCCAUUAUAUUUCCACUUGGCUCGAGUUAAGAAGACAUCACCAAAGUGAAUGGAAGAAUUGUUACCUAUGGCACAUCAGUGAGGAAUAUGAUUGAAGUGUGACAUUAAUACUACUUUUCUCGAAUUUUGGUCUGUGGGGCACCUUGAAAACUUUUAAGGAUCACCAGUGUUCCCCAAACUUUGCUAAAUAUUAUUAAAACCAAUUUCUGUGUUUACCAUUCCUGAUCUAAAAAUCAAUGUUUACUGAGUAUUUGCCUAUGUUUCAAGAGUUUUCAGUUUGCAAACUAGUGGCCAUAUUCAGUAGCUGAUGUGUUUUAACUUGGCCUUAGCAGUAUUUUUAAAGUUUUUUUAAUUAAUUGCCAACAUUUCAAAAUUAGAGAGAUUUCAUAAAACAUGAUAAAAAUCAAGAUGUCCGGCUACUCUUGAGAAAUUAGAAAUCUGGCAACGCUGAGUCUUUAUUCCUGCUCGACGGCAAUUUGCUGGAGCUGAGUACUGACGACCCCUUAUAGAUGGGGUCUGUGCUCUCCAUCCACUCCUUUCUUGUCUUACUUUGGGCUGCUUUGCUUAUUUAUAUUAUCUACCUGGACCCUAUAGGCCCCUGGAUGAUGUGUUAAUUUAAGAAAUUCAAAUUGCAAUUACUAGUCUGUUUCUGUUAGGCAUGUAAUAGUUUUACAUUUAUACACAUUAGGAAUGUUUAUAAACUAAUGAAUUCUACCAUUAGACUAAAAGAUGGUUAGUGACCUGAACUGCUGAUUUCAUGAAGCAGAGGCAUGUGGUAGGAACUGAAAAAUGAAGUGCCAUUAGCAAGUGAGAACUGUGGUCACAAGGUUUUUCCAAGUUUCAUGUGUACCGUAUUACUAACCAGGUGAAAUGUUUCCUGCUGUGUGUGUACUCAUUGGUUACUGAAUGUCCCAAUUCUACUUAUGAAUAUAAUUAUGUAGUGUCUAGAUUAUUAAGAUGAGUUGCUUCUCUUUGAUAUUUCAAAUUUUAAAAUAUGAAAAAUAAAACAAGCCUAGUUGAUUUCUGUUUAUUAUUUUAAAUUAUAGUACAAUUAAGUAUAUUUGUAUUUUUAUUGAGAUAUAAUUCACAUACCAUAAAAUUCACCCUUUUAAAGUAUACAAUUCAAUAUUUUUUAGUGUGUUUACAAGAUUGUACCAUUAUCACCACUAUCUAAUCUAGAAAAUUUUUAUUACCCCAAAAAGAAAACCCUGAACCCAUUAGCAGUCACUCCCUACUCCCCUCUUCCUAACCCCCAAACCACUAAUGUGCAUUCUGUCUCUAUAGAUUUGCCUAUAAUGGACAUUUCAUAUAAAUGGAAUCAUAUAGUAUGUGACCUUUUGUAUCUGGCUUUUACUCAGUAACGAGUGUUCAGGGUUCACCCAUGUUGUAGUAUGUAUCAGUACUCCAUUUCUUUUUAUGCCAAGUAAUAUUCCAUUUAUGGGUAAACCACAUUUUGUUUAUCUAUUGAUGAAUAGAUACCAAUAUCCAUUGAUAAUUAUUGAUCAACAAAUAAACUCAUCAAUUUCUAUUCAUAAACAAAUAUUGAUGGACAAAUAUUAAUGGACUUUUUGGCUAUCAUGAAUAAUGCUGCUAUGAGAUUCAUGUACAAGUUUUUGUGUGAACAUAUGUUUUCAGUUCACUUGGGUAUAUAUAUAUAUAUACCUAGGAACGGAAUUUCUGGAUCAUCUUGCAGCUCUAUGUUUAACUUUUUGAGGAACAACUAAAACUAUUUUGCAUAGCUGCUGCAUCAUUUUACAUUUCUACCAGUAUGAGGGUUCCAGUUUAUCCACAUC